UGGCGAACGGGUGAGUAACGCGUGAGGAACCUGCCUCAAAGAGGGGGACAACAGUUGGAAACGACUGCUAAUACCGCAUAAGCCCACGGGUCGGCAUCGACCUGAGGGAAAAGGAGCAAUCCGCUUUGAGAUGGCCUCGCGUCCGAUUAGCUAGUUGGUGAGGUAACGGCCCACCAAGGCGACGAUCGGUAGCCGGACUGAGAGGUUGAACGGCCACAUUGGGGCUGAGACACGGCCCAG
rnacentral:rRNA from 1 species